rnacentral:rRNA from 1 species
GAUGAACGCUGGCGGCGUGCCUAAUACAUGCAAGUCGAGCGAACGGACGAGAAGCUUGCUUCUCUGAUGUUAGCGGCGGACGGGUGAGUAACACGUGGAUAACCUACCUAUAAGACUGGGAUAACUUCGGGGAACCGGAGCUAAUACCGGAUGAUAUUUUGAACCGCAUGGUUCAAAAGUGAAAGACGGUCUUGCUGUCACUUAUAGAUGGAUCCGCGCUGCAUUAGCUAGUUGGUAAGGUAAUGGCUUACCAAGGCAACGAUGCAUAGCCGACCUGAGAGGGUGAUCGGCCACACUGGAACUGAGACACGGUCCAGACUCCUACGGGAGGCAGCAGUAGGGAAUCUUCCGCAAUGGGCGAAAGCCUGACGGAGCAACGCCGCGUGAGUGAUGAAGGUCUUCGGAUCGUAAAACUCUGUUAUUAGGGAAGAACAUAUGUGUAAGUAACUGUGCACAUCUUGACGGUACCUAAUCAGAAAGCCACGGCUAACUACGUG